AGGCAUGAGAAUGAUCUGGCUGCCACAUCUGUCACCCCAGAAUUGAUUGGGUGAUCGGGAUAUCUCCUCCCUCCCUCACUGUUCCUUGAGCAUCUCUCCUGAAGCUGUGGGCUUGGGGGUAAGAGAACAGUCACCUCAUACAGAUAGUCAUCAACUUACGACUACGAUU
rnacentral:snRNA from 1 species